rnacentral:rRNA from 1 species
GACGAACGCUGGCGGCGUGCUUAACACAUGCAAGUCGAACGGAAAGGCCCUGCUUUUGUGGGGUGCUCGAGUGGCGAACGGGUGAGUAACACGUGAGUAACCUGCCCUUGACUUUGGGAUAACUUCAGGAAACUGGGGCUAAUACCGGAUAGGAGCUCCUGCUGCAUGCUGGGGGUUGGAAAGUUUCGGCGGUUGGGGAUGGACUCGCGGCUUAUCAGCUUGUUGGUGGGGUAGUGGCUUACCAAGGCUUUGACGGGUAGCCGGCCUGAGAGGGUGACCGGCCACAUUGGGACUGAGAUACGGCCCAGACUCCUACGGGAGGCAGCAGUGGGGAAUAUUGCACAAUGGGCGGAAGCCUGAUGCAGCAACGCCGCGUGCGGGAUGACGGCCUUCGGGUUGUAAACCGCUUUCGCCUGUGACGAGGCGUGAGUGACGGUAAUGGGUAAAGAAGCACCGGCUAACUACGUG